ACUUAUAUUUGUAGUAAAGGUUGCUAAAAUGAGUUUUCAUUAAGGCAUUAAAAGGGAAUCAGGUUGAAUACCUGAGCUGUUCCCGCAACUGUAAGCUACAAAGCUUGUCUGCCACUACACAGCCACUGUUUAAUCGGGAAGGCCGCCGACAAGACGCAAGCCAGGAGACCUGCCUUUUAUUAUUUUUAAAA
rnacentral:ncRNA from 2 species